rnacentral:rRNA from 1 species
GACUGUAGCAAAACACAGGGUCUGUGCGAAAGCGAAAGCUGACGUAUACGGGCUGACGCCUGCCCAGUGCCGGAAGUUUAAGAGGAGGGGUGCAAGCUCUGAAUCGAAGCCCCGGUAAACGGCGGCAGUAACUAUAACUGUCCUAAGUGUAGCGAAAUUCCUUGUCGGGUAAGUUCCGACCCGCACGAAUGGCGUAACGAUCUGGGCGCUGUCUCAACGAGGGACUCGGCGAAAUUGAAGUACCUGUGAAGAUGCAGGUUACCCGCGCUAGGGCAAAAAGACCCCGUGGAGCUUUACUGCACCCUGAUAUUGGAUUGGGGUUCAGCAUGUGUAGGAUAGGUGGGAGGCUGUGAAACUGGAGCGCUAGCUUCGGUGGAGCCAACGUUGAAAUACCACCCUUGCUGGAUUUCGUUUCUAACCGCGACCCGUAAGCCGGGCGCGGGACAGUGUCAGGCGGGCAGUUUGACUGGGGCGGUCGCCUCCUAAAGAGUAACGGAGGCGCCCAAAGGUUCCCUCAGGCUGAAUGGAAACCAGCCGUAGAGUGCAAAGGCAUAAGGGAGCUUGACUGCGAGACCCACAAGUCGAGCAGAGACGAAAGUCGGGCUUAGUGAUCUGGUACCUCCGAGUGGAAGGGGUAUCACUCAACGGAUAAAAGCUACCCCGGGGAUAACAGGCUGAUCGCCCCCAAGAGUUCACAUCGACGGGGCCGUUUGGCACCUCGAUGUCGGCUCGUCGCAUCCUGGGGCGGAAGUACGUCCCAAGGGUUGGGCUGUUCGCCCAUGAAAGCGGUACGCGAGCUGGGUUCAGAACGUCGUGAGACAGUUCGGUCCAUAUCCGGUGUAGGCGUUAGAAUAUUGAGAGGAGCCUUCUUUAGUACGAGAGGACCGAGAAGGACAUACCGCUGGUGUACCAGUUAUCGUGCCAACGGUAAACGCUGGGUAGCUAUGUAUGGAGUGGAUAACCGCUGAAAGCAUCUAAGUGGGAAGCCCACCUCAAGAUGAGUAUUCUCAUCACAAAAGUGAGUAAGGUCACGGUAAGACUAACCGUUUGAUAGGCAUUAAGUGUAAGUAUAGUAAUGUAUGUGCUAAGAUGUCCUAACAGACCGAGGACUUGAAUUU